UUACCAUUUUUUCUCCGGUAUAGGACGAGGCACAGCAUUGACACGACAAGGAAAGUUGGGCUGACCUGACAGAUUUCGGCCAAGUAUUGUACCAACAAGAUUUAGAGGAAGAAUAACAAAAAAACAGAUGCAACAAACGGCCACCUGUAAAUUAAAUAAAAAUGUGUGAUUACUCAGAGAACAAUAACAUUAAUAUAAACAAA
rnacentral:lncRNA from 1 species